rnacentral:rRNA from 1 species
CCUACGGGUGGCUGCAGUGAGGAAUAUUGGUCAAUGGCCGCGAGGCUGAACCAGCCAAGUAGCGUGAAGGAUGACUGCCCUACGGGUUGUAAACUUCUUUUAUCAAGGAGUAAGGUGCGGCACGUGUCCCUUUUUGUGUGUACUUUAUGAAUAAGGAUCGGCUAACUCCGUGCCAGCAGCCGCGGUAAUACGGAGGAUCCGAGCGUUAUCCGGAUUUAUUGGGUUUAAAGGGAGCGUAGAUGGGUUGUUAAGUCAGUUGUGAAAGUUUGCGGCUCAACCGUAAACUUGCAGUUGAUACUGGCAGUCUUGAGUACAGUUGAGGUAGGCGGAAUUCAUGGUGUAGCGGUGAAAUGCAUAGAUAUCACGAAGAACUCCGAUCGCGAAGGCAGCUUACCAAACUGCCACUGACAUUGAUGCACGAAAGUGUGGGUAUCAAACAGGAUUAGAUACCCGUGUAGUC